UACGGAGGGUGCAAGCGUUAUCCGGAUUCACUGGGUUUAAAGGGUGCGUAGGCGGGCAGGUAAGUCAGUGCUGAAAUACUCUAGCUUAACUAGAGGGGUGGCAUUGAUACUGAUUGGCUUGAGUGAAGUCGAAGUAGGCGGAAUUGACGGUGUAGCGGUGAAAUGCUUAGAUAUCGGAAGGAACACCUGUGGCGAAAGCGGCUCACUGGACCAUUACUGACGCUGAGGCACGAAAGCUAGGGGAGCAAACAGG
rnacentral:rRNA from 1 species